CCCAGCCUGCGCUGCGCCACGAUGUCCGGGGAGUCAGCCAGGAGCCUGGGGAAGGGAAGCGCGCCCCCGGGGCCGGUCCCGGAGGGCUCGAUCCGCGUCUACAGCGUGAGGUUCUGCCCGUUUGCUGAGAGGACGCGUCUGGUCCUGAAGGCCAAAGGAAUCAGGCAUGAACUCAUCAGUAUCAACCUGAAAAAUAAGCCUGAGUGGUUCUUUAAGAAAAAUCCCUUUGGUCUGGUGCCAGUUCUGGAAAACAGUCAGGAUCAGCUGUUCUGUGAGUCUCCCAUCACCUGUGAGUACCUGGAUGAGGCAUACCCAGGGAAGAAGCUGUUGCCGGAUGACUCCUAUGAGAAAGCUUGCCAGAAGAUGAUCUUAGAGCUGUUUUCUAAGGUGCCAUCCUUAGUAAGAAGCUUUAUUAGAAGCCAAAAUAAAGAAGACUAUGCUGGCCUAAAAGAAGAAUUUCGUAAAGAAUUUAUCGAGCUAGAGGAGGUUCUGAGUAAUAAGAAGACGAUGUUCUUUGGUGACAAUUCUCCCUCUAUGGUUGAUUACCUCAUCUGGCCCUGGUUUGAACGGCUGGAAGCAAUGAAGUUAUAUGAGUGUGUAGACCACACUCCAAAACUUAAACUGUGGAUGGCAGCCAUGAGGGAAGAUCCCACAGUCUCAGCCCUGCUCACUAGUGAGAAGGACUGGCAAGGUUUCCUAGAGCUUUACUUACAGAACUGUCCUGAGGCCUGUGACUAUGGGCUCUGAAGGGGGCAGGAGUCAGCAAUAAAGCUAUGUCUGAUGUUUUCCUUCACUAAAAA